CUGUGUUGAUGACUUUCUUAGGACACCUUUGGAUUAAAUCAUGAAAAUAAGAUUUUUCUGAGCAGC